rnacentral:lncRNA from 1 species
GAAGGAUUAAUGCGGCCACAAUAGGGAAAGUGGAGAUGUGCUGCUUGCAAACAGGAUGUUUUGCCAAGGAGAUGGACACAGCCUUGAUAUUAACAGUUCCUUGCUAAUAAAAGAACAUUUUUUUGUGUGAUAAGGGCUCUGGACAGACUCUGCAGUAAGCCGGAAUUUCACUCCCUUUUGCUGUAUGAUAACAUUUAUGCACAUGUGCUGUACUAAACAAGUUUGGUCAUACAGUCUGAAAUUUUACUCAGGGGGGCUAUAUAAAAAUAAACCGUGAGCUUGCUUGCUUGCGUAGUUAUUAUUUUCCCUCUGGCCAGAGUGUGUCUGUCUCUUGUAUGUGUGUCUUGUUGUUUUAUGUCAUUUCACUCGUAAUCUCCAGAAUCUCCUACAUCUGGUGCCCAACGUGGGGCUCGAGUGAAACCGAAAGGGGUGUUGAACUUGAAGACGUUUGAUUUCAUACUGAAUUCCUUGAAGUAUUCCACUCAUUUAACUGGCUAACUACACACCAACUAAAGGCCUUGAGUAAGUAGUGUUUUUCUGUUUAUUUCUCUCUAAAAUGGACAUAGAAAUCCCACACUUUCAGAGUUAAAUAAUAGAAUUUGAGUGAUAGUACCCCAUGCAAUAGAAGCACUCAGUAUGUGUUUUUGUUCUUGUUUGUUUUUCAGAUUCAUGUGUAGCUAUCAACCAAUUAAGAGCACUAAAUAAAAUUAUUUGAGCUGAACACUGUGAAUUAAAGAUUCAAAUACAAUGCCAGAGGACUUGUAUUAUAUUUUUAAACACGUUCCCUGAGCCCUGUUUUGUUGUGCAGAACUAAUUUGGUAUCACAUCUCACCAAGAUUAUUGUGGUGUUCAUCCAUCUGGUUUUUCUAUUUACUCUUUUGUUCCUCAAUAAUCCAUUCCCACUCUCCCCCAACCCCCUACAUUUGAGUGA